GAUGAACGCUAGCUACAGGCUUAACACAUGCAAGUCGAGGGGAAACGGCAUUGAGUGCUUGCACUCUUUGGACGUCGACCGGCGCACGGGUGAGUAACGCGUAUCCAACCUUCCCAUUACUGUGGGAUAACCUGCCGAAAGGCAGACUAAUACCGCAUAGUCUUCGAUGACGGCAUCAGAUUUGAAGUAAAGAUUUAUCGGUAAUGGAUGGGGAUGCGUCUGAUUAGCUUGUUGGCGGGGUGACGGCCCACCAAGGCUACGAUCAGUAGGGGUUCUGAGAGGAAGGUCCCCCACAUUGGAACUGAGACACGGUCCAAACUCCUACGGGAGGCAGCAGUGAGGAAUAUUGGUCAAUGGACGGAAGUCUGAACCAGCCAAGUAGCGUGCAGGAUGACGGCCCUAUGGGUUGUAAACUGCUUUUGUAUGGGGAUAAAGUUAGGGACGUGUCCCUAUUUGCAGGUACCAUACGAAUAAGGACCGGCUAAUUCCGUG
rnacentral:rRNA from 1 species